GAUGAACGCUGGCGGCGUGCCUAAUACAUGCAAGUCGAGCGAACAGACGAGGAGCUUGCUCCUCUGACGUUAGCGGCGGACGGGUGAGUAACACGUGGAUAACCUACCUAUAAGACUGGGAUAACUUCGGGAAACCGGAGCUAAUACCGGAUAAUAUAUUGAACCGCAUGGUUCAAUAGUGAAAGACGGUUUUGCUGUCACUUAUAGAUGUAUCCGCGUCGCAUUAGUUAGUUGGUAAGGUAACGGCUUACCAAGGCAACGAUGCGUAGCCGACCUGAGAGGGUGAUCGCCCACACUGGAGGUGAGACACGGCCCAGACUCCUACGGGAGGCACCAGCAGGGACUCUUCCGCAAUGGGCGGAAGCCUGACGGAGCAGCGCCGCGUGGGUGAUGAAGGUCUUCGGAGCGUAAUACUCUGUUAUUAGGGAAGAACAAAUGUGUAAGUAACUAUGCACGUCUUGACGGUACCUAGUCAGGAAGCCCCGGCUAACUACGUG
rnacentral:rRNA from 1 species